rnacentral:rRNA from 1 species
GGUGCAUUAGCUAGUUGGUGAGGUAACGGCUCACCAAGGACCACGAUGCAUAGCCGACCUGAGAGGGUGAUCGGCCACACUGGGACUGAGACACGGCCCAGACUCCUACGGGAGGCAGCAGUAGGGAAUCUUCCGCAAUGGACGAAAGUCUGACGGAGCAACGCCGCGUGAGUGAUGAAGGCUUUCGGGUCGUAAAACUCUGUUGUUAGGGAAGAACAAGUAUGAGAGUAACUGCUCGUACCUUGACGGUACCUAACCAGAAAGCCACGGCUAACUACGUGCCAGCAGCCGCGGUAAUACGUAGGUGGCAAGCGUUAUCCGGAAUUAUUGGGCGUAAAGCGCGCGCAGGCGGUUUCUUAAGUCUGAUGUG